rnacentral:rRNA from 1 species
AUUGAACGCUGGCGGCAGGCUUAACACAUGCAAGUCGAGCGGGCGAGGUUGCAUCGGUAACUGAGCUAGCGGCGGACGGGUGAGUAAUGCUUAGGAAUCUGCCUAUUAGUGGGGGACAACAUUCCGAAAGGAAUGCUAAUACCGCAUACGCCCUACUGUGGAAAGCAGGGGAUCUUCGGACCUUGCGCUAAUAGAUGAGCCUAAGGCAGAUUAGCUAGUUGGUGGGGUAAAGGGCUACCAAGGCGACGAUCUGUAGCCGGUCUGAGAGGAUGAUCCGCCACACUGGGACUGAGACACGGCCCAGACUCCUACGGGAGGCAGCAGUGGGGAAUAUUGGACAAUGGGCGGAAGCCUGAUCCAGCCAUGCCGCGUGUGUGAAGAAGGCCUUUUGGUUGUAAAGAACUUUAAGCGAGGAGGAGGCUACUUGGAUUAAUACUCUAGGAUAGUGGACGUUACUCGCAGAAUAAGCACCGGCUAACUCUGUGCCAGCAGCCGCGGUAAGAC